rnacentral:rRNA from 1 species
GAUGAACGCUGGCGGCGUGCCUAAUACAUGCAAGUCGAACGAAACUUCUUUAUCACCGAGUGCUUGCACUCACCGAUAAAGAGUUGAGUGGCGAACGGGUGAGUAACACGUGGGCAACCUGCCCAAAAGAGGGGGAUAACACUUGGAAACAGGUGCUAAUACCGCAUAACCAUAGUUACCGCAUGGUAACUAUGUAAAAGGUGGCUAUACUACCGCUUUUGGAUGGGCCCGCGGCGCAUUAGCUAGUUGGUAGGGUAAAGGCUUACCAAGGCAAUGAUGCGUAGCCGAAUUGAGAGGUUGAUCGGCCACAUUGGGACUGAGACACGGCCCAAACUCCUACGGGAGGCAGCAGUAGGGAAUCUUCCACAAUGGGCGAAAGCCUGAUGGAGCAACGCCGCGUGGGUGAAGAAGGUCUUCGGAUCGUAAAACCCUGUUGUUAGAGAAGUAAGUGCGUGAGAGUAACUGUUCACGUUUCGACGGUAUCUAACCAGAAAGCCACGGCUAACUACGUG